rnacentral:lncRNA from 1 species
CCUAAGAUUUCUAAAAUUUUGAGAAGAAUGACGAUGAAUUUAAAUGAUCCUCGUGAUGAAUUUUUGAUCUGUGAUCGUCGGACGGUACACCGACAUCCACUUUGAUCAGAUCAAGUAUUUUUAGAUUUUAUUUCUCAUGAUCUUAUUGAAUUGUCCACAUGAUAAUCUUAGCAUGAUUUGAUCUGAUCAAUCGAAUUUGUUGAAUCAUAUCGUUUGAGGAGUUCAAGAUGAGUUU